ensembl:lncRNA
GCAGAUUCCUUCUCCAGACUCUGAUCUAACAAGGCUGGAAGAACUUAUCUCAAAGGAGAAGAUUCAUAUAUUGUAUCAUGACAUUGUGAAUCAACUUGAGAGCCUCAUUCGGGGGCAGAACAGCAUCUGACUUAUCAAAUCGGUGGCAUUCGACUGUUUAACUGCACAAGGAGAGAAAACCAAGCGGGGAAGCCCUUCUCCUCCAAACUCAUCUAAUGUUCACUGAGCAGUCAAGGAAGCGACUGCUGCUUCCUUUGAUGUUCCAUCCAGAGCAUCAAGCCACCGAAGCUCAAGUUCCACUACUUCUCAAGUGACUGUCCUAGAUGGUAGUAGCUCUCUGGUGUCUGGCAGAUUCACGAUGAUACUAAGAAAAUGUUCACAAGGGCAAUCUGUCACCUAGUAAUGGACAACGUAUCUGGUGCCUCUAGUGCCACAAUGGAGGCGGAACAUCAUGGAAAAGUGACUCUCCCAGCUGAAAUGUGACCAGUUAAAGUGGCCGACAACAUCCAUAACAGAGAGGCAUCUGUCUUAGCCACUGGAUUUGAGGAGGCCCGGAGUGAUUCCAGUUCUUCUCAGGCUGUGAGGCAAAGGGAGGUUCAGAUUCCUCCCAAAUAUCACCAAGUUCAGAAUAACCUCAAGGUAGGCCUACACCAGAAAUGUUCCUGGUUUGAGUUUCAUUAUGAAGUAUUGUUGUAAGUUGUAUUAGGUAGUAAUAAAGGUAGGCCUAUUUGUUAUCUUGCUACACAGUAUGAACAUGUAACAAACUUCAUACUUGUCUCGUUUUCAAUGAACAACCCUUUGAAUUGUUGUUGUAAAAGUUAUGGGGUUUUAAGAAUGUCCUUUGUGAUUAAUUAACAUUUUCUUUCUUUUGCAUCAAGCGGGGCAACAAAAAUUAAGUCCAGCCCUCCAAGGAAGCACAGGACAAGAUUAAGGUUCCCCAUGAGGAGGAGCAUUGCAUAAUGCCGAAAGCGGGAAAUGAUUCCAUCCACCUCUCAACCCUAGGAGAAGAAACAAAAACCCUCCAUCUUUGUCAGGAUGUACUCGACCAUAAACAAAGGCCUUUGCAACUCCUUCAAAGGUUCAUCCAUCAAGUAACAAUUGUAUCAACAAGAAUCCCAGGAAACAUAUUCCAGUUUGUGUUAGCGAAACAAUCCUGUAGCUUAGUAUCUGCUUCAUCGGACCACUUCCAUAUUGAGCACGUCACUGGUACUUCCUGUUUGAGUUUUUGCUUGUAAGCAGGAAUAUGGUCAGAUUUGCCAAAUGGAGAUUUCCCAAAUCGAGGGAGAACUUUAUAUGCAUCUCUAUGCGUGG